rnacentral:tRNA from 2 species
GCCUCCAUAGCUCAGCUGGAUAGAGCACCGGUUUUCUAAACCGUAGGUCACAGGUUCGAAUCCUGUUGGGGGUACAA